UUUGGGUCAGUGGGCUUUCUUUUGCAGACACUUCAUACUUGUGGCCAGUGGAGGCAAGGUAGGUCACUGCUGGCACCAGGGAGAGACUCAAGGACAUUGUGAACGGGGGAGCUGGGCAUUGUGUCAACUAACUUUGGCUUACAUACAUACAGUCAGCCCGGACCAUGGGCUAUUGAUAUUAGCGUUGUUUGGAAAGUAUUUCCAGGUCUUCUGGAACACCUGCGGUAGGAAGGCCUUCUGCCCUUUGUUGUGGGAACAUAUAAAUAGUUUGAGGCAAUGUAGGUUACAAGCAGAAAUGAUGUCUGUCACUUUUAGACCGAAACAUUUAAUCGCUGGCAUGGGACCCUCAGAGUCACUCUCUUUUUCCUUUUAGUGUGGCAACCAGUGACAUUUGAAAUGGUGGCUGCUCCUGCAGUUUGGGCUCCUGAGUGAUGCUGAUGAGCAGAGCUCACCCUGAUGCGAUGGGCCGAUAGCCUGAAUUUCAUCCGUAGGAAAAGAGGAAGAGGAGCUGUGAUAUUGUGUGCUUCCAUCAACCCUCCCACAGCAUCUUUUUAAUAAUAUCUGAGACUCACAAAAAUAUCUCACUCUGAUGUUGCCUGGGAGCCCCAGGGAUAAAAGAUGAAGAAGUAUGGUGUGCAUUCACAAAAGAAAAAAGUAAUUUUAUAAUAUAAGUUAA
rnacentral:lncRNA from 10 species